AUGGAGAAUAACGCAUGGCUGGAGGAACAAUUGAAAAAUGGAUAAGAUAAUACAACAAAAGGAUGAUCAAAUUAUGGACCUGCAGGCUCAAUUAUUGCAACAGCACAAAAUAUUAGAUAACAGCAAAGCUAAGGAUGCUCAAAGUUUGAGUCUACAAGCUCAGCUAGGGGAAAAGAACAAAUUGGAACGG